CGCGGGAUCUUACCGGGUCCGGACACACUGAGGAUUGACAGGCAAUAUAUUAGCAUAAAGACUCGUCUUUAGCGCUAAUUGUUAAAUAUGCUAGUCCUUUCAUGAUUAUGUGAUAGGUGGUGCAUGGCCGUUCUUAGUUCGUGGAGUGAUCUGUCUGCUUAAUUGCGUUUCACUAAGGGCCCAUAAAUUCAAGGUAUGUUAGCAAAUGCUGCUCUAUUGACCCCUAAUAGGCUUAACUGUCUUUAGCGCGUGUCUCUACGAGUUCUUUAAAGCACUGCGCAUGCUGUUGGGUCCUGAAAGCAACGAACGUGACCGCAACGUCUUGUUGCCUCUCUAUAAUAUCUUCUUAUUUUUAAUAAGAGUAUUUACCUGAGGCUAUUUUAAAACUAGACGGACCGCUGUUUCUUUCUUAAACCAGAGGAAGGUUGCGGCAAUAACAGGUCUGUGAUAAAAAUCAGAAUCCCCGGGGCAAGUG
rnacentral:rRNA from 1 species